UUUAAUAAUAUUAGUAUAUAAUUUGUAUUUUUCAAUUUCGCCAAUUUCUAUUUUUAAUACUUAAUAAUGUAAUUAAUUUUUAAUAAUAACGUUCAACUUUCAAUAACGUAUCAAAAUUUAAUAGAACGAAAGAUGUUUAAAAUAUUCCGUCGUUAAUUUCUUUUAAAGUGAUAAUUGAAAAAUAUAUUCAAAUCCAAAAUUCUCGUAGGGGUCUUAUAGAUGGCAGUACGCGACGCAAUUAGAGGCGCGUUUGACAGUCGUGAAAAUUUGUUCGGAAACGUUCGACAAAUGGCGUUCGGUAUUAAAAGUGCGAUGCGUGGUGCGUGUAAACAAAAGUACAUUGAAGUUCUGCGAAAUGUUUGGCAAACCUGACGCCAGCCUGCGAUAAAUGUUAACUUCGUCAAACGAUUCUGUGAACGUUGGUGUCGAGGAGUAUUUUGGUUACCAUCCGGUCGACAAGGCAUUCCAACGUGCAUUGUUGGUAAAAGUGAAUUAAUUCAACGGCGACUAAUCGUAUGGGCGGGUGCAUCCAGCGUUGGAUUCACGACAUUUAUGCGGCGAUCAAAGAGAGGUUGAAAUUGUGGAAUACGAGAAGAGAGGGUCGUGAGAAAGAGAACAGAGAGCGGGCAAAGUACAUUUUCAUAAUCGAGUCAAGUACUUCACUGAGUGUCUAUUCCGGAAUUUUCAGUGGUUCCAAGCCCCUGCUGUCUUUCUCUACACACACACCCCCUCCCCAACUAUUCCAUGCUACCAUCUCCCAGCAAGUUCAAAUAAAAGGACACAUUGGGACCGAGUACAUUUUAUUCUCUUCCCCUUACCACCCGUUUCUGCGGUCUUCUCUCCGUCGCACUCUUUCUUUCUUCUCUUUUCCCCGUCCCUGUGGAAGUUCACUGCGCCCUCCAGCGAAAAAGAGAAUCAUUAAGAGCUUCUUGAAUUAUUUACUGUUUAAUUUCCCAUCCUUUUCCUCUUGCUUUCCAAUCUUCCUUUCUUUUUUCUCUCUUCCUUUUUUCUUCGACUUGUGAAUUCCAAAGUCUCCGCCAGGAGGCAAAUAUUUGGCAUCGCGACGGUUUCAUUGUUUCAACGUGAUUUCGAAAUUCCGUCUGCGGUCUUGGAUUAGUUUGGUCUACUUAUUAGGCAGACAGAUUCAACGGCUAUUAAGCGUCCUUUUAGACGUAUUCGAGAAGGAAGCUUCCAUAUUUUCAUAUAUAUUACUUCAAAAUUCUAUGAAUAUAUAGUUGCUGCAGAAACUAUUUACAUGCUACUGUAUUCGUUACAGUACUUACGUGUACACAUACUAAUUGCUUAAGUCCAAUUGUAUGUAUCAAAUAUUCGAAUAAAUUCCAUAUUGCUUCGA